AGGGCUCAUGCAUUUAUUCCAACAUGUUUCUUCCUGUUACCUCUCUUCCAUGGUCUACUGUGCUCUUCACACUUGUGCCCAGUUCCUAGCCUCCCUUCUCUCAGGCUUGUGAGGAAUCCACUUUUGCCAGCCAUGUCCCCAUCAAGACCUGAGUCCCACAGAGUCUGAGCGCAGAUGCCAGGCCCUCUUCUUUUGCAUACGCACACACACACACACACACACAAUUUUUAGUUGUGAUGGAUCUUUAUUUUAUUCAUUUACUUGUAUGUGGUGCUUAGAAUCAAACCCAGUGCCUCACACAUGCUAGUCAAUGGCUGUACCACUGAGCCAAAACCCCAGGCCCCUGGCCCUCUUCUUGUUCUGGUCUUUCCUGAAUUUCUGUAACUGCUUUCCACCCGACGUUGGGAGCUCCGCUCCCUGUGCUGCCGGCCACAUCUGUUUGUGCCAUGAGUAUUUUCAACACAUUUCUGAUCUUGUCCUCUGUCUGCAGACUUCCCACAAUUUUAAUGUCAAACUCCUUUAUCUUUCAAUAUAUAUUUUUUCAAAAUUAAAUAGAUUUGUGAGUCCCUUGUGUUUCUGAUUCUGAUUGAGUAAAAGUGGUGGUGGGAGAUACUGACACAGAUAGGACCACAUUCUAGAGGGCUAGUUCAGUGAAGCCCCAAAGAGAGGAGACUAGGGGAAGUCAUGGGUCCCCAUACCUGGUCUAAUUCAGGUGCCAUAUAAGAAUGUGAAAAGGUAUGAAAACAUUCAAUUGUCCACUAUCCGGGGGCUUGGAAGUGGGGUUGUGUGCAGCAGUCUUUCCUGGCUUCUGCUGCAGCCUGAUGCGUUUUAUAUAUUUGAGCUAUUGGAAUUGUUUUGUGCCAUCAUGUUGCCUAAUAACACCUAACACUAUAAGUUAACCAACCUCGCCACACAAAUGUCUCCUGGCCUUGUUGACUAUGUACAUGGAGGCAAAAGACAAUGAUUGUGGGUUGCGUCUGAACUACCAGAUUAUAUACUUGCCAGUGGGAGUUUUAUUAGAAAGUAAUAUGUUGAUUGCAU
rnacentral:lncRNA from 1 species